GAUGAACGCUGGCGGCGUGCCUAAUACAUGCAAGUCGAGCGAACGGACGAGAAGCUUGCUUCUCUGAUGUUAGCGGCGGACGGGUGAGUAACACGUGGAUAACCUCCCUAUAAGACUGGGGUAACUUCGGGAAACCGGAGCUAAUACCAGAUAAUAUUUUGAACCGCAUGGUUCAAAAGUGAAAGACGGUCUUGCUGUCACUUAUAGAUGGAUCCGCGCUGCAUUAGCUAGUUGGUAAGGUAACGGCUUACCAAGGCAACGAUGCAUAGCCGACCUGAGAGGUGAAUCGGCCACACGGGAACUGGGACACGGUCCAGACUCCUACGGGAGGCAGCAGUAGGGAAUCUUCCGAAAUGGGCGAAAGCCUGACGGAGCAACGCCGCGGGAGUGAUGAGGGUCUUCGGAUCUUAAAACUCUGUUAUUAGGGAAGAACAUAUGUGUAAGUAACUGUGCACAUCUUGACGGUACCUAAUCAGAAAGCCACGGCUAACUACGUG
rnacentral:rRNA from 1 species